rnacentral:ncRNA from 1 species
CAGAGUAAAGGAAUAUGCGUCAAGUGUUUGCUGUACGGGGAGUUGACAGCAGGACGAAGGAGCAAGAAGCUCCGCGGUAUAUUCUUUGCAUCCCGCUGU